rnacentral:misc_RNA from 1 species
CCCUAGCCGUGAUUGAAGCAAUUGUCUGAGCUCAUUUCUUUGGAUUUGGCGGCGCGGCUUCGCCGCGCCGCCAAAUCCAAAGAAAUAGCGAGUGCGGAAAGUGCGAAAAAGC